rnacentral:misc_RNA from 1 species
GAUGAAGAACGUAGUAAAAUGCGAUACUUGGUGUGAAUUGCAGAAUCCCGUGAACCAUCGAGUUUUUGAACGCAAGUUGCGCCCGAAGCCUUUUGGCCGAGGGCACGUCUGCCUGGGCGUCACGCAUCGCGUCGCCCCCCACAAUUCUCCGUAAAGGGAACAUGUGUUUUGGGGGCGGAUAUUGGUCUCCCGUGCUCAUGGCGUGGUUGGCCGAAAUAGGAGUCCUUUCGAUGGACGCACGAACUAGUGGUGGUCGUAAAAACCCUCGUCUUUUGUUUCGUGCUGUUGGUCGCAAGGUAAACUCUUUAAAAACCCCAAUGUGUCGUCUCUCGACGACGCUUCGACCGCGACCCCAGGUCAGGCGGGACUACCCGCUGAGUUUAAGCAUAUCAAUAAGCGGAGGA